UACGUAGGGUGCAAGCGUUAAUCGGAAUUACUGGGCGUAAAGCGUGCGCAGGCGGUUUUGUAAGUCAGAUGUGAAAUCCCCGGGCUUAACCUGGGAACUGCGUUUGAAACUACAAGGCUAGAGUGUGACAGAGGGGAGUGGAAUUCCACGUGUAGCAGUGAAAUGCGUAGAGAUGUGGAGGAACACCGAUGGCGAAGGCAGCCCCCUGGGUUAACACUGACGCUCAGGCACGAAAGCGUGGGGAGCAAGCAGG
rnacentral:rRNA from 1 species